GCCACUUCAUAUAAAAUUUUAUGUUCAAUGAGUGGACACAGUUAUUUAUUUAAAUCCUGUCUUUAACACAUCCUCACUUUAUAUUUUGAUCAAUAAACAGACUAAAAGAAACUUACAAUCUUCAAUAGUUAGGUAUACAAGUACAACAAAAGUAACACGAACUAGUGGACACAAGUCACACCUCCAGCUACAAGAGCUCACACAGGCAGCUUUUACUUUUCUAAACGAAAGCACUCGAGGAUUGCAAUAUUAUUGGAAACAUAAACACAGUACGAACUUGUAGAUGGGCACAAGGCAUGACCUCCAACAAGUACAUAUAAAUUCAUCGAUUAGCAAUGACGGUAGUAGCAGUAGCAACCAUAAUGCUUACUAUGGUGAUUUUUUAGACAAGCACCAUGGUAAGCUCCCUCGUGGUGAAUACAGUAACUGCUGCAUUUAUGAGGAGCACACAACCCACGCCAUCCUUUGCUAAGUUUUGUGCAAGGUUUUGCCUCCCCCAAUUGCAUCUCUGCGUAAAAAUUGGAUCAGGAAAGAUAAAUAGUAUCAGUUAUUCAAUAAAU
rnacentral:lncRNA from 1 species